ensembl:lncRNA
CCGCUGCUGGCAGGUAGGAGUCGAUGGCUGCCGCUCCAAGGCAGCAGGGGGCGCUGGCUGCCGCUGCUGGCAGGUAGGAGGCGCUGGCUGCCGCUGCUGGCAGGUAGGAGGCGCUGGCUGCCGCUGCUGGCAGGUAGGAGGCACGGGCUGCCGCUCCAAGGCAGCAGGGGGAGCUGACUGCCGCUGCUGGCAGGUAGGAGGCGCUGGCUGCAGCUCCCGGGCAGCAGGGGGCGCUGGCUGCCGCUCCCGGCCAGCAGGGAACAGUCGGCGCCGUGGCGCAGGCACCGGACGUAGAGGGGACGCCGUCAGGACUUCCCUC